CUCUUGAACGUUGGGAUUGUGGGCGUGUGUCACGAUACUGUGCAUUCGGUGCUGGGUGUGAAAUCCAGGGUGGUCUCCCGUGUAGUAGGCAAGCACUCUACCAAACAAGCCUCAUCCAUAGCCCUGGCCUCGGGUUUAAAAGCCAUUUCCCUACUUUAUGGGGUAUUUUUGCCUGUUUGCAUGUCUGUGUACCACAACAUGCAGGGCCCACUGAAGUCAGAAGAGGCACGGGAGCCCCCGGAAUCAGCGUUAGAGACAGUUGUGAGCUGCCAUGUGGGUGGUGGGAAUUGAACUCAGGACCUCUGGAAGAGUAGUCGGGUGCUCUUAACUGCUGAGCCAUCUCUCCAGCCCACCAACAAGUGUUCUUAACCAACUGUCUCUCAUCUCUAGCUACAGGUUUUAAGUUUGCAGAUCCAAGAGCGGGAGUGUUUGGGGAAAAAAAGGUCAGGGACAGCAAUGCUGUAAUCCCAGCACUUGGGAGGCUCGGGUAGAAAGAUCAGUCACUGUGAGUUUGACUAACGUGUCUCAAAAAAUAGAAAAGAGAACGAGAAACCUGAAAAGGCCAGGUGCGUGCGCACACUUGUAAUCUUGCUUCAGGAAGCCGAGACAGUUAGACAAGUUGGGUUCCAGGGUAGCACAGUUAGACAGUGAGAGCCUGUCACGAAAAGCCUCAAAACUAUAAAAACAACCCCGAAAAAGGAGCUGGAUGUGGAAGAACCCAUCUGUAGUCCAGCCUUUCACAGGUAGAUCUGGGCUAUGAGACCUUGUCUCAAACAAUAAAACCCACCCUUGGGGCUUGGAGCAUGUCUCCCCCCCCCAACCCCCCACCAUCUGGCAGGUCAGGUGGCUGAGACUGUCCUGUAGUUCCAGAGAGGGAUGCUGUGUGGCAUGUGACUAGGGAGCCUUGUUGGGACCUCCUGGGGGGAAAGGGCCACCCAGAGCAGCAAGAAGCACAUGCAGUCACCUCGCUAAAGAAUACUCAUUUAUUUAUAAUUAUUGCUAAGUAAACUUCUCUUUUAAACAGG
rnacentral:lncRNA from 1 species